GCGCCCAUAGCUCAGCUGGAUAGAGCAACUGCCUUCUAAGCAGUAGGCCGCAGGUUCGAGUCCUGCUGGGCGCACCA
rnacentral:tRNA from 2 species